UACGUAGGGUGCAAGCGUUAAUCGAAAUUACUGGGCGUAAAGCGUGCGCAGGCGGUUUUGUAAGUCUGUCGUGAAAUCCCCGGGCUCAACCUGGGAAUUGCGAUGGAGACUGCAAGGCUAGAAUCUGGCAGAGGGGGGUAGAAUUCCACGUGUAGCAGUGAAAUGCGUAGAGAUGUGGAGGAACACCGAUGGCGAAGGCAGCCCCCUGGGUCAAGAUUGACGCUCAUGCACGAAAGCGUGGGGAGCAAACAGG
rnacentral:rRNA from 1 species